GGGGAUAUAGCCAAGUGGUAAGGCCGAGGACUGCAAAUCCUUUACCGUCGGUUCGAUUCCGACUAUCCCCU
rnacentral:tRNA from 1 species